CCCCUAAUUGGCGUAUAGAUUCCGGAUUGAUGGAGCAUAACAUUGUUCGACCUCUCCCACACUUAUGCAUGCAUGGCAGAUCCACACACGAUACUCAAACGGACUACCCAGAAUCGUCUCAACGAUGGCUACUUGUCCUCCGCUAGCUCUCAGCGAAAAAUCCCCAGGAAUCAGUUCUUGUUCGUUAUGGAGCUCGAUGCUC
rnacentral:lncRNA from 1 species